rnacentral:rRNA from 1 species
AUUGAACGCUGGCGGCAGGCUUAACACAUGCAAGUCGAGCGGAGAGAGGUAGCUUGCUACUGAUCUUAGCGGCGGACGGGUGAGUAAUGCUUAGGAAUCUGCCUAUUAGUGUGGGACAACAUUCCGAAAGGAAUGCUAAUACCGCAUACGUCCUACGGGAGAAAGCAGGGGAUCUUCGGACCUUCCGCUAAUAGAUAAGCCUCAGUCGGACUAGCUAGUUGGUGGGGUAAAGGCCUACCAAGGCGACGAUCUGUAGCGGGUCUGGGAGGAUGAUCCGCCACACUGGGACUGAGACACGGCCCAGACUCCUACGGGAGGCAGCAGUGGGGAAUAUUGGACAAUGGGCGGAAGCCUGAUCCAGCCAUGCCGCGUGUGUGAAGAAGGCCUUAUGGUUGUAAAGCACUUUAAGCGAGGAGGAGGCUACUUUAGUUAAUACCUAGAGAUAGUGGACGUUACUCGCAGAAUAAGCACCGGCUAACUCUGUGCCAGCCGCCGCCGUAAUAC